GUAGGGAAUCUUCCACAAUGGACGAAAGUCUGAUGGAGCAACGCCGCGUGAACGAUGAAGGCUUUCGGGUCGUAAAGUUCUGUUGUAAGGGAAGAACAAGUGCCGCAGGCAAUGGCGGCACCUUGACGGUACCUUGCGAGAAAGCCACGGCUAACUACGUGCCAGCAGCCGCGGUAAUACGUAGGUGGCAAGCGUUGUCCGGAAUUAUUGGGCGUAAAGCGCGCGCAGGCGGCCUCUUAAGUCUGAUGUGAAAGCCCCCGGCUCAACCGGGGAGGGCCAUUGGAAACUGGGAGGCUUGAGUAUAGGAGAGAAGAGUGGAAUUCCACGUGUAGCGGUGAAAUGCGUAGAGAUGUGGAGGAACACCAGUGGCGAAGGCGACUCUUUGGCCUAUAACUGACGCUGAGGCGCGAAAGCGUGGGGAGCAAACAGGAUUAGAUACCCGGGUAGUCC
rnacentral:rRNA from 1 species